UACGUAGGGUGCAAGCGUUAAUCGGAAUUACUGGGCGUAAAGCGUGCGCAGGCGGUUAUGUAAGACAGUUGUGAAAUCCCCGGGCUCAACCUGGGAAUUGCAUCUGUGACUGCAUAGCUAGAGUACGGUAGAGGGGGAUGGAAUUCCGCGUGUAGCAGUGAAAUGCGUAGAUAUGCGGAGGAACACCGAUGGCGAAGGCAAUCCCCUGGACCUGUACUGACGCUCAUGCACGAAAGCGUGGGGAGCAAACAGG
rnacentral:rRNA from 1 species